CUACCUGCAGUCGACGCGAAAGUGGAGCAAUCCAUGAGUAGAGUGGCAAACGGGUGAGUAACACGUGGGUGACCUGCCUUCGAGCGGGGGAUAACGUCCCGAAAGGGACGCUAAUACCGCAUAACAUCCUGCCUUUUAAGAGGUGGAGAUCAAAGCCGGGGAUCGCAAGACCUGGCACUUGAAGAGGGGCCCGCGCCUGAUUAGCUAGUUGGUGGGGUAAUGGCUCACCAAGGCAACGAUCAGUAUCCGGCCUGAGAGGGCGGACGGACACACUGGGACUGAGACACGGCCCAGACCCCUACGGGAGGCAGCAGUGGGGAAUUGUUCGCAAUGGGCGCAAGCCUGACGACGCAACGCCGCGUGGAGGAUGAAGACCUUCGGGUCGUAAACUCCUUUCGAUCGAGACGAAUGGUUUCCGGGUGAAUAAUCCGGAGAAGUGACGGUACCGAGAGAAGAAGCCCCGGCUAACUCCGUGCCAGCAGCCGCGGUAAUACGGGGGGGGCAAGCGUUGUUCGGAAUUACUGGGCGUAAAGGGCUCGUAGGUGGCCAACUAAGUCAGACGUGAAAUCCCUCAGCUUAACUGGGGAACUGCGUCUGAUACUGGAUGGCUUGAGUUUGGGAGAGGGAUGCGGAAUUCCAGGUGUAGCGGUGAAAUGCGUAGAUAUCUGGAGGAACACCGGUGGCGAAGGCGGCAUCCUGGACCAAUACUGACACUGAGGAGCGAAAGCCAGGGGAGCAAACGGGAUUAGAUACCCCGGUAGUCCUGGCCCUAAACGAUGAAUGCUUGGUGUGGCGGGUAUCGAUCCCUGCCGUGCCGAAGCUAACGCAUUAAGCAUUCCGCCUGGGGAGU
rnacentral:rRNA from 1 species